UACGUAGGUGGCGAGCGUUGUCCGGAUUUACUGGGCGUAAAGGGAGCGUAGGCGGAUUUUUAAGUGGGAUGUGAAAUACUCAGGCUCAACCUGGGGGCUGCAUUCCAAACUGGAAGUCUAGAGUGCAGGAGAGGAGAGUGGAAUUCCUAGUGUAGCGGUGAAAUGCGUAGAGAUUAGGAAGAACACCAGUGGCGAAGGCGACUCUCUGGACUGUAACUGACGCUGAGGCUCGAAAGCGUGGGGAGCAAACAGG
rnacentral:rRNA from 1 species